rnacentral:rRNA from 1 species
GACGAACGCUGGCGGCGUGCUUAACACAUGCAAGUCGAACGGAAAGGCCCUGCUUUUGUGGGGUGCUCGAGUGGCGAACGGGUGAGUAACACGUGAGUAACCUGCCCUUGACUUUGGGAUAACUUCAGGAAACUGGGGCUAAUACCGGAUAGGAGCUCCUGCUGCAUGGUGGGGGUUGGAAAGUUUCGGCGGUUGGGGAUGGACUCGCGGCUUAUCAGCUUGUUGGUGGGGUAGUGGCUUACCAAGGCUUUGACGGGUAGCCGGCCUGGGAGGGUGACCGGCCCCAUUGGCCUAGGGGAGGCCCCCGAGUCCCUUGGGGGGGCAUGGGCGGGGAUUUUUGCCAACGGGGCGGAGUCCUGGAGGAGGACCCCCGGGUGGGGAACGGCGGCUUUGGGGUUCAAAACCGCUUUGGCCCGUAACGAGGGGUAAUGGCCGUAACGGGAUAAAAAGCACCCGCCAACCUCGUG